AUGAAAGGAGGCAAGGCGAUGGGCCCUGAGGUGUGGAAAGGUCUCGGCGACAUAGCGAUAGUAUGGCUAACCAAGCUUUUCAACCUCAUUUUUCGGGCAAACAAGACGCCAGAAGAAUGGAGACGGAAUAUAUUAGUACCAAUCUUCAAGAACAAGGGGGAUGUUCAGAGUUGUACUAAUUACCGUGGAAUUAGGCUGAUGAGCCAUACAAUGAAGCUACGGGAGAGAGUCAUUGAGCACCGCUUAAGAAGAAUGACAAGCGUGACAAAAAAUCAGUUUGGUUUCAUGCCUGGGAGGUCGACCAUGGAAGCCAUUUUCUUGGUACGACAACUUAUGGAGAGAUAUAGGGAGCAAAAGAAGGACUUGCAUAUGGUGUUCAUUGACUUGGAGAAGGCCUAUGAUAAGAUACAGCGGAAUGUCAUGUGGUGGGCCUUGGAGAAACACAAAGUCCCAGCAAAGUACAUUACCCUCAUCAAGGACAUGUACGAUAAUGUUGUGACAAGUGUUCGAACAAGUGAUGCCUGA
rnacentral:rRNA from 1 species